rnacentral:lncRNA from 1 species
UUAUAUUAAAUGGGCCUCGGUGGCCUACUAAUCUUUUGUUAAUUAAAUCCCAAGGCCCGUGCACAUGGUGGUAGUUACAUUUGGAAUAAAACCUCCUUGGAAGUUGAGAGGGUCCCUAACUAACUUAUAAGGUGGAGCCAUGCUGCACUUGUUGAGAAGUUGAGAGAGGAAUAGCAGAAUGCCACAUGUGCAUGCUCGCUUGCCUCACCGAGUCGAGCCACGACACGACACGAUCUCUACGGACGUGAUGUGUGGGCUGGGUUU